AAUGAAAUUUAGCUCUGUUUUCUGUAGUCAGUAGCUGUAUGAUCAUGUGAUCUUUCAAAGGGACACCAAUUACUACCCCCUUUUGAAUACUUCUAUGGGAAAUAUUUUGGGAAGAUUUGAGCAGGUCCUAGUCCCUGACUAUCGCUCCUCUACCUUCCCAUACAUGUAUGGUGAAAAUCAGGUCAUUUAACGGGCUCACUCCGUAUCCACAUAACUCUCUUCUCCUGUUACAGGGCCAUGCACACUCUGGCUUUCUUAUCACCUCAUCUUUGAAGAGAAAGAAACACUGCUGAGAGCUCAUUUCUUCUGCCUCUAGCCAGUUACUGAAAACGGUAAAAUGGAAGAGUGGCAGAGCCAGAAAAAGAAGCCGCCUUGACUCUGCCAAGCUAGUGCUCCUGCUGCCAAUCGCAACUCUUUGUGUGUAGACAGUCUGUGCAGCAGACUAGGACCCGCUUCAAGUACCGCAUCUGCCUGGGGCUCUUUCCCAGUAUAGUUUACUGCUCUCCAUCCUACCCUGAAGGAUAUCACCUCCCUGAUUCCUUCCCAAGCCUCCAUGACAGCUUCCUGUCAAGUGACUCUCCCCCACAAGUCUUUUCUGACAAAUCUCAGAGAUGCAACAGCUGGUCACCCUUCAAGACUUGCACAUGUCUCUGUUGCCACGAUGUAUUCCUUGAUCCAGAUGUGAAGGCUUCAGGACUAGGUGAAAAGAAUAGGACAGACUCCCCAGGGGAGGAACUCGGUAAGGUGUGCAUGGAAUAUGAAGAUUUGAGGAGAUCCAAUGAAAGCUUUCACAUCUUGCAUGCAUUUUUAAAAAUAACAUUCUACAAAAUGUGAUCUCAUUUCCUUGGUGUGAUAUGGAACUCUUCUAAUUAAAGUUUGGAAAUAAACAAAUAGGGAUCAUGAACA
rnacentral:lncRNA from 12 species